rnacentral:lncRNA from 10 species
CAAUACCACAGACUGGGUGGCUUAAAUAAGAGAAAUUUGGUUUGCAUUCUUGAGGCUGGCAGUUUGCAAUUAGGGUGCCAGCAUGUCUGGGCUGGGAAGUCCAAAAUCAAAGUACCAUUAUAUUUGAUGUCUGGUAAGGGCUUAUUCUCUGCUUUAUAGAUGGCACCUUCUCACUGUGUACUCACAUGGCAGAGGGGCAAGGUAGUUCUCUGGGGCCCCUUUUAUGAGGACAUCAAUCCCAUUUAUGAGGGCUUUUUCCUCAGGACCUAAUCACCUCCCAAAGGUCCCACCUCUUAAUACUGAUACAUUGGAUGUUGGGUUUCAACAUAUAAAUUUUGGUGGAAGACGGCAUUCAGGUUAUAGGACAUGCUUAACUUUGCUUAGUGCAACGUUUGCUUCAACACUAUUAGGCUUUUGUAGAUAUGGCCAAUUUUUUGAGUGUCUUUACUAAUUUAUUCCCAAGAAAAAUGUAGGAGAAUUCCAGUUGUUCUACAUCGUUGCCCACUCUUGAUGUUGUCAGUGGUUUUAAUUUUACCUACUUUGGUAGAGUUGUGG